CUUCCCUCAAGCCAUUAGCUGGUAUUCUUUGGAACUUUCUCCAUGCAAAAGAUUUUAAAGCCACUACCAAUAGUUAUAUUUCUUAGAGGAAGGCCUUCUCCCUACUGCAAAUCCCAAAUCCUCAAGUGACUGACAGAUGUACCACCUCGUGUUGGAAGAAGCCACUAUAGCUGGCUGGGCUCUACCGACAACCUGGACCACUUUGCUAAAGUUACUUCUGAUGCCGUAUCAAAAACCUACAGCCAUCAUUCCUCUGACAUCUGGCAACUGACUGGGUCCGCCACAUCUUCUUCCACCAGGAAUCCGUGGACCAUCCUGUAGAGACCACACCUGAGCCCAGGUCCCUGCUGUGGCUAUCACAAAGUGUUCUUAUGUGAGCAGAAUUAAAGUGGACUGAACCGGGUAGGGGGCGGAACGGAAGUAUUCACAGCAAGGCACAGCUAGCUCUAGGCGGCACCUCUGUAUCACUCUAUUGAGCGUAAAUCCAAAUCAUCACAAUAUGUCCUGUGCGUUUCUAAAUCCACCCUCUGUACUCCAAACCAAAAAAACUAAGCUCUCCGAUAACUCUGGAAUGGCAUUCUGUUAGAUGUUGCACAAAGGCAGUACUCUGAGUCAGAAAUAUUAGCCUGUUUCACAAUUUUUGAGACAAUUUAGCGCUGAGUCAUUUUUUUUUCUUUUUAAAUUUUUUAAAAUGUUUAUUUUUGAGAGAUUGCAAGUGGGGGUGGGGCAGAGAGAGAGGGAGACACAGAAUCUGAAGCAGGCUCCAGGCUCCGAGCUGUCAGCACAGAACCCAACGUGGGGCUCGAACCCAUGAGCCAUGAGAUCAUGACCUGAGCCGAAGUCGGCCACUUAACUGGCUGAGUCACCCAGGCGCCCUUCCUUUGUAAUUAUUAAAUUGUGCAUGCCUGUUGACCUUUUCUUUGUAUAUAUGUUACAUCUCAAAAGAAAAAAAGGAAAUUUGUUUUUAAAUAAAAGUAUUACAGAAUACCUGAAGUUGUUCGAUUAUGCUUGAGGGUCUAAGUGAAGCAGAAGUAGAGACGAGGAGCCUCUGGGUCAAGCCACCUGUCAGAGAAUCUCUAUUGUGGUUCUCAGAGAAGUGUGGCUGGGCAGAGGUUGGAGGGCUCACUGCAGUGGCUCAGAGGUAACAGUGCAUGACAGGCUAAAGUUAGCACUUACUGUGUUAAUUCAAGAGCAAUCCGGCCACCCUCUUGAGUCUUAAGAAUAACUUCAUGAUAGGCUGAAAUCAAUCAAUGAUGACCGUUCCCAGGGACUCACUCAAAGCCAUGAGAACAGCAAGUAAAAAAGACGUUGGUAACCUAAAAACAUGAAGUUAGAGGGGCAGAACUGUGUUUUUUUUAAGGACAUCUCAUAUCACUCAGAAGCUUGAGGAGGUGGGAAUAGAGUGACAGCACUCUAAGGGUGGCGUUCAAACUUAAGAUUCCAAUUCACUAGGUCUGGGAGAUGGGGCAAAAAUCAGUACUUUAAACACAAUUCCAAAGGGAAUUUUGUUGAUCUUCCAAUUUUCCCAAUUGGGAACCAAUAAGUAAUGACACCAAGAUUACUUCCCCAAUAAGGCCAGGGCCCCGAGGUCUGGUUUUCUGCCACGCUUACCUUUUGGUUGGAAAAGAAUUGGUACCACGUGCCCCUCCCCUCCAAACUUUUUGAGAGGCAGUAUUUUUGUCUGCCAUGCCAGCCCACUUCGGGGAGGGUGGGGAGGGGGAGAGGAGGCGUGGAAAUAAGCGUGAUUGUAUACAAACCAGAAGGCUAUACACAUCGCUUAACAGUGGUUACCGCUGGAUGGCAGGUGAAUUAUUUCUCUCGUGCUUUUUAUUUGCAAAUUUUCUAUGCUGAGUUUCUUACACAGUAAAACAACAAAUUCAUGUUUAAAAGACUGAGAAAACAGACACCCUCUGCUCUUGCCAAACUGGUUUCUUGUUCAGGAGGUGGGCGCAAGCACCUGUCAGGCUCCAUGGUCCUGCCCGGCAUCAGGGACAGCGGUCAGGGAAGGACGGAGGCGCGAGAAGAGCUGGGACAGGCCAGGGCUCUGUGCGCACGUUCUACCUGGCGCUGGGAGCUUCUGAAAGAAUUACUGGGAAAAUGCAAAAACAUCUCCAAAUCUUUCUUUUCCUUCCCCACCUCCAGUUUGAGCCCUGAGUCGCCACUUAAAGAAGAGUCACUCGCUACAUAACCCUUUUCGAUAUUUAUUUCCUGUACAAAAUAUUUACAGUCUCACUACAGCUGCCUGGCCCCUUUGCCUGGCCUGACGGACCUGCAGCAGGGCUUGGUCUCUAGAAAACACGCUGAUGCUCUCCCUGCUGUUCACUUGCUGCUUGGCUUCCUUCAAAGACACUAAAAGGCCAGUCGUUCAGCCCGCCUCCCCCAAGUACCUGGGCCACAAGGGCAUAAACAAAAGAACUGGCCAAAAGAAGAAACACGAAAGUAAAAAUUGCCCGAGAAGUAACACAUAUUCCUCCCUCUCUCUGACAUGUACCUUUUUCUCCCAUAUUGACUAGUACCAGAGCAGGAUUAGAAAAAAAGAGAAAAGGAAAAGGCCAAACAGAGCAAAGAUACUUCUGAACAGACUUGGGAGAGGGAGUACACUGGAAGAGUAGAAAACCACAACAGUAUCAAAGGGUUUUGUUACACAAAGACCCUGGGGCCAAGGUCCACCACAGGCACGCAAGCGGCUGCAGCCAGCCGCGGUGGCACCCAGGAUGCUCUGAAAAGUGCUAUGACUGGAGCUUAAAAUGACAGAUCUAGCCAAGAAAAUCAAAUCGAGCUCCAGCAGCAGUCUCUGGAGGGCCAAGGAGGGGAGAAUGCAGAGUCCAGAAGAAGAUCAACUGCCAAGGACAGCAGAACCAGCCCACGUACCCCCAGCUGGAAGCCCCUCUCCAGGCCCGAGGGGCAACGUCGCCUUGUCCAGGGUGAUGACGAAACUCGCCUGCAUGUGUCCCAUGGGAAGACACUGGGGCGAGCAGCAGCACCUUGUCCUGGUCCCUGAGGAGAGCAGUGACCGUGUGGCAUGGAGGACCCUGUGGGUGUCGAGGCCCUGACGCUGGAUCCCAGACCCCAAGAAUGAGUGAGGUCGGCACCCAUGCCAAGGACAAAUGACAACUGCGAAGGAGUGAGGUCAGGCAGCAGUGGGAGCAGCUCGGGAGGGCUUGUUCCUUGUGAUCCCUGGGAACGGGAGGGCUCAGACAUGCUUCCGGGAGGCCAGGGCAUUGCCAUAAGUCCUGCCUCAUCUCUGGCCUCUGUACUUGCUGGUUUUGGCAGUAAGGAUGGCUUGUAAUAUUCUCAGAGUUGAAUGCCCCGUUGAGAAGGGUAGCUUGCAGCAAAGCCUUCUUAAACACAGAAAUUUGGAGAGUUGAUGAGAGUUUGAGUCUUGAAGAUGUGUGUAUUCAAACUGUAAUGAGAAAGGAUGGUGUGAUCUUCCAAGAGACAGCUGCAGGUUCUCUUCAGUCAUCGUGUAACCGAACCUACUAGAUCGUCCUCCCUCCACUGGGACUCCUGCUGGCAACUGACAGAGUGAAGUCACUGAGCAGCUGGGUGUUUGUUGUCUGACACAGCUCUUCUAUGUAUGUUCCUUGUGCCCUGACCCCAAGGACCUGUGACUGAGCCACAGGUCCCUUUUCCCUUGCCUCAGUGCUGCCAGAGAAAACCAAGCAAAGAGAGAACCAGGCAUCGUUAGCAUGCUAUUCUUACUGUCUCAAUCCCUUGCUACAAAAUUUUCUUCCGUAGAAAGCUAAAGAAUCCCUAGCUCUUAGCAGACUGAAUAAGUUGAAGGUAAAUGGCCAGGCCCAGCCACACCCCAGUGUAAAGAACAAACUCAGGGACAAACGUCAGUAGUCUUCAAGCCAGCCAUGUGCCUAGACGUGUCCCAGGCCCUAAGGGAAAAUCAUAUUCAGCACUGGAAGCUAUAGCCCAGCUAUCUUUCACAUUCUUGGGUCUGUUUUUCUCACUGGCUCAAACUCAAAAAAAAAAAAGCGUAGAGAGUUCUUUAUGGAUUAAU